UGUGGUUUUAUAUUCAUAAUAUUUCAUAUGAAUCAGAAUAGUAGGUGUAGAAUGGCCAGGUGAACCACCAAUCUGAAUCAGAAUAGUAGGUGUAGAAUGGCCAGGUGAACCACCAAUCUGAAGCAAGUAACUGAACAAAUCUUAACUUUCCAAAAGAAUGAACAUGCCACAUCAUUUUUAAAUAAUGCCAAAAAGUCAUAAUCACAAUCUGUUGUAUUUAUUGUUGCAAUUUACCCUCUAGACCACUCUGCAAACA
rnacentral:lncRNA from 1 species